rnacentral:tRNA from 2 species
GGGCGAUUAGCUCAGUCUGGUUAGAGCGCCACGUUGACAACGUGGAGGUCACUGGUUCGAGUCCAGUAUCGCCCACCA